rnacentral:lncRNA from 1 species
UCUGGCACAACGCGCUCCCGGUACCCACCCCCGCCCGUGGUCACAGGAACGCGCCCUCGCACCCGCGCUUUCUCACCCGCAGCCGAGCACGCGCGCAGGACCGCGCGUGUCCUUCGUCCCCGAGCGGCCGCCAGGAUGUGCCCCAGGCCUCGUCCCCGCCGCGCUUGUAGCAGUGCCCCUCGCCUAGUAUGUCUUUUUUAAUUUACUGAAUUUCUUAUUCUUGUCCUUGCAAGCGGUCCUGUGUGAUACGAAGCUUCGGCACAGAUGGCCUCCCAGCGCUUCCCCAGUGUCGUUCGUGGCUGGGGUGGGGAGCAGGCGGUGAUUAGCCAGUCUGGACGCCUGGCUCCCGGCUGGGCUCCUGUGGGCGUGCUCCUGUCUGGUGGAAUCCCCUGCCCUCUCCAAAGGACCCCGGCCCGGGCGCCGUACGCCCGGCUCUCCGCCCGCUGCUUUUCGGUUCUAGACUGCGAUUCCCAGCCCGCGUUUUCCCGCCCGCCUCUAGUAGUGUAAGUUCGCGAAGCAACAGAUUUGGGCUCUGGGAAAAGCGCAUAGAGUCAUGCAGAGGAAGAAAGCUUACAGGUUGGAGUCGUCUCCAAACAGCCCCAAGAGCCACUUACGAAAAAAAAAA